rnacentral:rRNA from 1 species
GGUUAAGCGACUAAGCGUACACGGUGGAUGCCCUGGCAGUCAGAGGCGAUGAAGGACGUGCUAAUCUGCGAUAAGCGUCGGUAAGGUGAUAUGAACCGUUAUAACCGGCGAUUUCCGAAUGGGGAAACCCAGUGUGUUUCGACACACUAUCAUUAACUGAAUCCAUAGGUUAAUGAGGCGAACCGGGGGAACUGAAACAUCUAAGUACCCCGAGGAAAAGAAAUCAACCGAGAUUCCCCCAGUAGCGGCGAGCGAACGGGGAGCAGCCCAGAGCCUGAAUCAGUGUGUGUGUUAGUGGAAGCGUCUGGAAAGGCGCGCGAUACAGGGUGACAGCCCCGUACACAAAAAUGCACAUACUGUGAGCUCGAUGAGUAGGGCGGGACACGUGGUAUCCUGUCUGAAUAUGGGGGGACCAUCCUCCAAGGCUAAAUACUCCUGACUGACCGAUAGUGAACCAGUACCGUGAGGGAAAGGCGAAAAGAACCCCGGCGAGGGGAGUGAAAAAGAACCUGAAACCGUGUACGUACAAGCAGUGGGAGCACGCUUAGGCGUGUGACUGCGUACCUUUUGUAUAAUGGGUCAGCGACUUAUAUUCUGUAGCAAGGUUAACCGAAUAGGGGAGCCGAAGGGAAACCGAGUCUUAACUGGGCGUUAAGUUGCAGGGUAUAGACCCGAAACCCGGUGAUCUAGCCAUGGGCAGGUUGAAGGUUGGGUAACACUAACUGGAGGACCGAACCGACUAAUGUUGAAAAAUUAGCGGAUGACUUGUGGCUGGGGGUGAAAGGCCAAUCAAACCGGGAGAUAGCUGGUUCUCCCCGAAAGCUAUUUAGGUAGCGCCUCGUGAAUUCAUCUCCGGGGGUAGAGCACUGUUUCGGCAAGGGGGUCAUCCCGACUUACCAACCCGAUGCAAACUGCGAAUACCGGAGAAUGUUAUCACGGGAGACACACGGCGGGUGCUAACGUCCGUCGUGAAGAGGGAAACAACCCAGACCGCCAGCUAAGGUCCCAAAGUCAUGGUUAAGUGGGAAACGAUGUGGGAAGGCCCAGACAGCCAGGAUGUUGGCUUAGAAGCAGCCAUCAUUUAAAGAAAGCGUAAUAGCUCACUGGUCGAGUCGGCCUGCGCGGAAGAUGUAACGGGGCUAAACCAUGCACCGAAGCUGCGGCAGCGACGCUUAUGCGUUGUUGGGUAGGGGAGCGUUCUGUAAGCCUGCGAAGGUGUGCUGUGAGGCAUGCUGGAGGUAUCAGAAGUGCGAAUGCUGACAUAAGUAACGAUAAAGCGGGUGAAAAGCCCGCUCGCCGGAAGACCAAGGGUUCCUGUCCAACGUUAAUCGGGGCAGGGUGAGUCGACCCCUAAGGCGAGGCCGAAAGGCGUAGUCGAUGGGAAACAGGUUAAUAUUCCUGUACUUGGUGUUACUGCGAAGGGGGACGAGAAGGCUAUGUUGGCCGGGCGACGGUUGUCCCGGUUUAAGCGUGUAGGCUGGUUUUCCAGGCAAAUCCGGAAAAUCAAGGCUGAGGCGUGAUGACGAGGCACUACGGUGCUGAAGCAACAAAUGCCCUGCUUCCAGGAAAAGCCUCUAAGCAUCAGGUAACAUCAAAUCGUACCCCAAACCGACACAGGUGGUCAGGUAGAGAAUACCAAGGCGCUUGAGAGAACUCGGGUGAAGGAACUAGGCAAAAUGGUGCCGUAACUUCGGGAGAAGGCACGCUGAUAUGUAGGUGAAGUCCCUCGCGGAUGGAGCUGAAAUCAGUCGAAGAUACCAGCUGGCUGCAACUGUUUAUUAAAAACACAGCACUGUGCAAACACGAAAGUGGACGUAUACGGUGUGACGCCUGCCCGGUGCCGGAAGGUUAAUUGAUGGGGUUAGCGCAAGCGAAGCUCUUGAUCGAAGCCCCGGUAAACGGCGGCCGUAACUAUAACGGUCCUAAGGUAGCGAAAUUCCUUGUCGGGUAAGUUCCGACCUGCACGAAUGGCGUAAUGAUGGCCAGGCUGUCUCCACCCGAGACUCAGUGAAAUUGAACUCGCUGUGAAGAUGCAGUGUACCCGCGGCAAGACGGAAAGACCCCGUGAACCUUUACUAUAGCUUGACACUGAACAUUGAGCCUUGAUGUGUAGGAUAGGUGGGAGGCUUUGAAGUGUGGACGCCAGUCUGCAUGGAGCCGACCUUGAAAUACCACCCUUUAAUGUUUGAUGUUCUAACGUGGACCCGUAAUCCGGGUUGCGGACAGUGUCUGGUGGGUAGUUUGACUGGGGCGGUCUCCUCCUAAAGAGUAACGGAGGAGCACGAAGGUUGGCUAAUCCUGGUCGGACAUCAGGAGGUUAGUGCAAUGGCAUAAGCCAGCUUGACUGCGAGCGUGACGGCGCGAGCAGGUGCGAAAGCAGGUCAUAGUGAUCCGGUGGUUCUGAAUGGAAGGGCCAUCGCUCAACGGAUAAAAGGUACUCCGGGGAUAACAGGCUGAUACCGCCCAAGAGUUCAUAUCGACGGCGGUGUUUGGCACCUCGAUGUCGGCUCAUCACAUCCUGGGGCUGAAGUAGGUCCCAAGGGUAUGGCUGUUCGCCAUUUAAAGUGGUACGCGAGCUGGGUUUAGAACGUCGUGAGACAGUUCGGUCCCUAUCUGCCGUGGGCGCUGGAGAACUGAGGGGGGCUGCUCCUAGUACGAGAGGACCGGAGUGGACGCAUCACUGGUGUUCGGGUUGUCAUGCCAAUGGCACUGCCCGGUAGCUAAAUGCGGAAGAGAUAAGUGCUGAAAGCAUCUAAGCACGAAACUUGCCCCGAGAUGAGUUCUCCCUGACCCUUUAAGGGUCCUGAAGGAACGUUGAAGACGACGACGUUGAUAGGCCGGGUGUGUAAGCGCAGCGAUGCGUUGAGCUAACCGGUACUAAUGAACCGUGAGGCUUAACCUU